UAAGUUGAUGAACAAGGCUAAUAGUGAUUAGUAAUAAAGAAACAAAGUUCCAAUGACCUUUUUGAUAGUGAAUUUGAUCCGAGUAAUCAUCAUCAAAGAAGACUUUAGCAAAUUGCAAGUAUCAAACCAUUUCAUCAAGGAUGAUUCACUCUUUCAUGAAACCAUGGGUAACGACUAUCCAAAGAGAGAUAUAUAAUAUAAUAAUACAAAGAAAACCAAGUUUCAAAUUGACAGGAGAUCUAAUGUCUUGACUCUUCUAAACCUCGCAUUUCCCAAAAUUGCUUCUUCUUCUCUAAAUUUAGAAAAAAUAUGGAGGAUGGAGAUGACUGGAUAGCCCCUGAUAAGGUUUACCACGUUCUUUUCUGCUUCUUCAUUGCUAUGAUUACGACUGUUCUGGCAGAAAGAGCUCGGUACCCUUUCAUCCGGAGAAGGAGCAUCUUGAUCGGAUCCAUAGUCUCCCUCGCUGCCGGCGCCGCUAAGGAGGUCGCCGACGAAUUAGGUUAUUUCAGGUCAGCAGGUGCGUCUACCAAGGAUGCUGUUGCCGAUGUCUUUGGCACUCUUAUCGCUGCUUUCGCUUUAUCUCUCUAUAAAAAAUCAUCCUUCAUUCACCGCACAACCGAUCAAUCCCUUCAAGCUAAAGCACUCCAGAUGGUUUAAUCCGUUACUCGACUUAAAUGGAUCAUUCAAUUUGAUAAAUACAUGGAGUCUCUUCACCAAAUUGUACUAGGAGCAGCAAAAACUCAAUGAACACACUUAAGAUGCAAAAUUAACGGGACAUGCUAAGCUUAAACAGAGCAAGAGUUGCAGAUAAUUACCCGGCAAUUAGUAUGUUGAGCAUGACAGUGGCUCCUACUGCAAUUCCUGCAUGCUUUCCCACCUGGAGUUUGCCAAGAAAGACGAUAAUGCUAGGGAGACAGGAGCAGGAGGUAACGUGCAUGAAACAGCCGGCAAGGUUCCAUCUUCCGAGGCCCAUGCUUCCAUACCGAAGCAUUUGCAGCUCUUGAGAAAGGAUUUUAUGCCCUUUUUUCUCUCAUGAUUGAAACUAUCAAAGAGAGGAACACGGGGAGCUCCUGGAUUUUCUGGUUCUGAAGGGGCUGACACACCUUCUUCAGGGUCCAUGCUAUUAUUAGUAACUGGAAAAACAAGUACAAAUAACAGCUAGACAAGUUUGAGUUAACUCUAGCUCCUUUGUCCUUGUGACUAGUGAUCACAGUGAGCCUCCAAUGAAUACUAUUUAUAUAUAGUGCUAAUUGCAUCAUCAGCCAUUAAGAAUGUUUGACUUGGAUAAUCCCAAGAGAUGAGAGAAAGUUAGUGGAUAUUGAAAAGGGAAGUGGGAUUUGCAAGUGGAAAAAGUGGGGCGCCAAUCACAAACCUUUGCAUUUGGAAUUUAAAGGGUCGAAGCAUUUGAACUCUAGACAUCAGUCAUGUAUUUCCUGUUUCCCACUUGAUCUUGUUAUUAAUUAACACAAGAUCCUGUACCAUACAAUCAUGCAGCUGACUAUUUUGCUCCAGCUACGUAGCAGGUGUUUGGACAUAUAGAUUGGUUGAUAUUUGUAAAAAUAAAAAUAGAAUUUGAAGUGAAGUUGAAAUUUUUUAUUGCAGCAGUAGACUGAGCACCAGGGCAAGCCUUGCAAGCAUUACGUGAAUUGUUUUUGUUUUUCUCUGUUAGGAUCUUCAUGAGUACAUUGCUCUUGGGAGCAGCUCCUAUAGAAACAUACAUUGCAUGUAAAUUGCUUUCACAAUUGGAUGCCAUUUCACUCUAAAUCUUAUGUCUUCAAUAAUUGAUUUUUCUUUCAAGUUUGAGAUCAUGUUUUUAUCUAAUUUUCAUUUCAUUGAUGAAUUAAUUAUAUGCACAUCACCCUCGGUAGAAUAGUUGUCAUUAGGACUUUGGAUCUUGUUUCUGCUGUAUUGUUUGUCCUAAGCUUAAGAGCCAAAUCUACUAACGAAAGCAGAUUUUGGACUUUUAUUUUUAUAGUACCUCUUUUAAAAAAUAUUCCCUCCAUCCCAAAAUAAGUGUCAUCUUAGCAAAAAGCACGACCAUUAAGAAAUCUAUAAAUAUAAUGGCGAGUUUACUAAACUACCUCUAUUUAUUAGAUGUUUUUUGAAAAUUGAGCAAUAUUAAAGAGAAAUGCUUCUUUAAUGCUAAGGGCAAAGUCGAAAACACUUGUCAAUUUUUGUCUUGAAUUCUUAAGGUGACACUUAUUUUGGGAUAAUUUUUUUUUUUUUUGCUAAGGUGACACUUUUUUUUUUUUUUUUUGAUUUUUUUUGAUAAAGGUAACAUAAGGUGACACUUAUUUUGGGACAGAGGGAGCAGUUGAAUUUGCUUUUACAUGGAUUUAGCAGUCCAGUGACAUACCAAGUAAAUCAUCCUUCUUUCUUGGAUGACCAAGAUAAUUGAAAAUUGAAAGUUAUUGAAUAUGUGAAGAUCUUAGUAGAAUAAGAUUGGACAAAUUUAUUUGCCAGCCUCCAACUUCUGAUCUGUUUUCUUUGCUGCACAUCACCUUGUUAUUAUAUGUAGUAAUCUCAGAGAUCUCUGAGGUAAAUGAUCAAUACUGAAACAUGCUUAUGAAAGGGAGAAAAAAAAAAGAAAAAAAAAGAAGUGUUGUUGGUAAAAAUUAAUAGUUAAAUCAGCAGUGUACAAACAGAGGUAACAGUUUCAUGCCAGGUUGAACUCAACACAGAAAGCAGCUCUCUGAAUGCAGAAACAAUUUUUUUUUAAUAUGAUAAUAAGUUGAAUUCCCCUGUGCCAAUUUGGCAAUACUUUAUGAAUGAACAAUACUUCUUUCUAUUUUGGUAGUCUCAUGGAUAAACUAUUCUGUCAUAUUUUGGAUCUGUUGCAGCGCAAUUUAGCUGGCUUCCUAAUUAUUUACCAUGGCUGGAAUUUUGAAGAAGAGAGCCGCGCACUGAAAUGAUGUAGGAGAAAAAGCAUGGAACAAGAAACUACUCACUCAGCCGCACUUCAUACCCCUCGAAGAUCAGACAGAUGAAGAAAAAAAGAAGAAUUUCCACUUCAUAUGGCACUAGUUCUGUGAACGGAAACACAUGUUAUACAGAAAUCUAUUAUACAAUCCAGUAAAAACUAACCAAUUCUACAAAUCCCAUAAAUUUGCCUAUAGUAGCUCUUCUCAAACAUAGGCACCAAUGCUCAUUCCUUUCUUUCCUCUCUCCAUCAUUAUAUCCUGCUCUUAUCCGUUCUUUGAUAAGUUUUAUCUUGCUCAAAAUCUGUACAUUUGGAGAGAGUGGAAAGAUUUUGUUUUAUUCAACCCACCCUUGCCU